rnacentral:rRNA from 1 species
CCCUACGGGGUGCAGCAGGCUUCCACUGAGGCUCUGUUGAGCCAGUUGGACCAGAUUGAGAAGCGUCCCGAAUUCAAGGGGCAGACCUAUGCCGCCUACCUGGACCUACUCAAAAACUGGAAACAUCGGGAUCGCUCCAAGGAAGAGGAGAAGGCAGACACGGAGGAUGAGGAGGAAAAACUGCCGGACCCGGCGUAUCUCCAGGGGGCUGUAAUGGUUCUCGAGAAUCGCACUGGGGCGAUUCUGGCGAGGGUGGGAGGCCGGGAUUCCGAUCACAGCAAGUACGACCGGGCCACGAUGUCCCGCAGAAAGGCAGGGACGGUAUUUACGCCCUUCGUCUACGCUGCGGGGCUUAAGCAACGCAAGCUGCCGGGAGAAAAGGUGGACGAUAAUCCUUUGGACAACCGCUACGUGCAGAUCGGGGGAAUUGGCGGGAGAGC